rnacentral:rRNA from 1 species
UAAUCAUUUGUCUUUUAAAUGGAGACCUGUAUGAAAGGCAAAACGAGGGUUUAACUGUCUCCCUCUUCUGAUCAGUGAAAUUGACCUCCCCGUGCAGAGGCGGGGAUAAAAAAAUAAGACGAGAAGACCCUGUGGAGCUUUAGAUAUGGGGAGGAAAGAAGAAAACCCGCUUCUAAAGGGGGUACUACCUUAUAACCUUCCUGCGUCUUAGGUUGGGGCGACCCUGGAGUAAAAAAAACCCUCCACGAAGCUGGGUACACAGUCCCUAAAACAAAGAUUCUCCACUCUAAACCUCAGAACUUCUGACUAUACUGAUCCGGCACUCCCGAUCAACGGAACAAGUUACCCCAGGGAUAACAGCGCAAUCCUCUUCCAGAGUCCU